rnacentral:rRNA from 1 species
UACGUAGGGUGCAAGCGUUGUCCGGAAUUAUUGGGCGUAAAGAGCUCGUAGGCGGUCUGUCGCGUCGGCUGUGAAAACCCGGAGCUCAACUCCGGGCCUGCAGUCGAUACGGGCAAACUGGAGUGUUGCAGGGGAGACUGGAAUUCCUGGUGUAGCGGUGAAAUGCGCAGAUAUCAGGAGGAACACCGGUGGCGAAGGCGGGUCUCUGGGCAACAACUGACGCCGAGGAGCGAAAGCGUGGGGAGCGAACAGG